rnacentral:rRNA from 1 species
GGCGAACGGGUGAGUAACACGUGGGCAAUCUGCCCUGCACUCUGGGACAAGCCCUGGAAACGGGGUCUAAUACCGGAUAUGAGCCUGGGAGGCAUCUCCUGGGUUGUAAAGCUCCGGCGGUGCAGGAUGAGCCCGCGGCCUAUCAGCUUGUUGGUGAGGUAACGGCUCACCAAGGCGACGACGGGUAGCCGGCCUGAGAGGGCGACCGGCCACACUGGGACUGAGACACGGCCCAGACUCCUACGGGAGGCAGCAGUGGGGAAUAUUGCACAAUGGGCGCAAGCCUGAUGCAGCGACGCCGCGUGAGGGAUGACGGCCUUCGGGUUGUAAACCUCUUUCAGCAGGGAAGAAGCGCAAGUGACGGUACCUGCAGAAGAAGCGCCGGCUAACUACGUGCCAGCAGCCGCGGUAAUACGUAGGGCGCAAGCGUUGUCCGGAAUUAUUGGGCGUUAAAGAGCUCGUAGGCGGCUUGUCGCGUUCGGUUGUGAAAAGCCCGGGGCUUAACCCCGGGU